rnacentral:rRNA from 1 species
GACGAACGCUGGCGGCGUGCCUAAUACAUGCAAGUAGAACGCUGAAGAGAGGAGCUUGCUCUUCUUGGAUGAGUUGCGAACGGGUGAGUAACGCGUAGGUAACCUGCCUUGUAGCGGGGGAUAACUAUUGGAAACGAUAGCUAAUACCGCAUAACAAUGGAUGACCCAUGUCAUUUAUUUGAAAGGGGCAAAUGCUCCACUACAAGAUGGACCUGCGUUGUAUUAGCUAGUAGGUGAGGUAACGGCCCACCUAGGCGACGAUACAUAGCCGACCUGAGAGGGUGAUCGGCCACACUGGGACCGAGACACGGCCCAGACUCCUACGGGAGGCAGCAGUAGGGAAUCUUCGGCAAUGCGGGCAACCCUGACCGAGCAACGCCGCGUGAGUGAAGAAGGUUUUCGGAUCGUAAAGCUCUGUUGUAAGUCAAGAACGAGUGUGAGAGUGGAAAGUUCACACUGUGACGGUAGCUUACCAGAAAGGGACGGCUAACUACGUGC